rnacentral:rRNA from 1 species
AUUGAACGCUGGCGGCAGGCUUAACACAUGCAAGUCGAGCGGAGAUGAGGUGCUUGCACCUUAUCUUAGCGGCGGACGGGUGAGUAAUGCUUAGGAAUCUGCCUAUUAGUGGGGGACAACAUUCCGAAAGGAAUGCUAAUACCGCAUACGUCCUACGGGAGAAAGCAGGGGAUCUUCGGACCUUGCGCUAAUAGAUGAGCCUAAGUCGGAUUAGCUAGUUGGUGGGGUAAAGGCCUACCAAGGCGACGAUCUGUAGCGGGUCUGAGAGGAUGAUCCGCAACACUGGGACUGAGACACGGCCCAGACUCCUAAGGGAGGGAGCAGUGGGGAAUAUUGGACAAUGGGGGAAACCCUGAUCCAGCCAUGCCGCGUGUGUGAAGAAGGCCUUAUGGUUGUAAAGCACUUUAAGCGAGGAGGAGGCUACUGAGACUAAUACUCUUGGAUAGUGGACGUUACUCGCAGAAUAAGCACCGGCUAACUCUGUGCCAGCCGCCGCCGUAA